rnacentral:rRNA from 1 species
UGCGUAGGCGGACUAAUAAGUCAGUGGUGAAAUCUUUCGGCUCAACCGAGAAACUGCCAUUGAUACUGUUAGUCCUGAGUUCGGUUGAGGUAGGCGGAAUGUGUAAUGUAGCGGUGAAAUGCUUAGAUAUUACACAGAACACCAAUUGCGUAGGCAGCUUACUAGACCGACACUGACGCUGAGGCACGAAAGCGUGGGGAGCGAACAGGAUUAGAUACCCUGGUAGUCC